rnacentral:ncRNA from 1 species
GUAAAGUUUAAUUCUGGUUUGAAGAUUUAUUAAAUUUUUUAAUUACAUGUAAGUUUUUGCGAGAAUUUAAAUUUGGUUUAAAUAGUUAAUUUUAUAGUUUUAUUCGCAGUAUAAAGUUUUAAUGAUUUAAGAAAUUGAGAAUUAUAGAAAAAUUGUAAUAUUGACAAAAUUUGUGCCAGCAGUUGCGGUUAUACAAAAAAUAUAAAUAAAUCUUAUUGAUUGAUAAUAAAAAGUUUUAUUUUUUAAUUAAAAUUAAAUUUAUAAGGUGAAAUUUAAAAUUUAAAAUAAUUAUAAUUAAAUUUUUUGAUUUUAUUAAAUUUAAAGUUUAAACUAGGAUUAGAUACCCUAUUAUUUUAAUUGUAAAAUUAUUCAUUUAAGUAGUAUUAGUUAUGAUCUUGAAAUUUAAAGAUUUUGGCGGUAUUUUAGUCUAUUCAGAGGAACCUGUCCUAUAAUUGAUAGUCCACGAUAAACUAUACUUAGAAUACUAAUUUGUAUAUCGUCGUUAUUAAAUAUUUUAUAAGAAUAUAAAUGUUUGAGUUUUUGAAUAAAAAAAUAUAUCAGAUCAAGGUGCAGUUUAUAAUUAAGAAGAGAUGGGUUACAAUAAAUUUAUUUAUAUGGAUUUAUAUAUAAAAAUUUAUAAAGAAAGUGGAUUUGAUAGUAAUAAUAUUAAGAUUAAUUUUAUGAUUAAAGCUCUAAAAUGUGUACAUAUCGCCCGUCGCUCUUAUUAUAAAAUAAGAUAAGUCGUAACAAAGUAGAUGUACUGGAAAGUGUAUCUGGAAUGAU